rnacentral:sRNA from 1 species
GACAAGAUCGAAAACAAAUCGUCCUGC